rnacentral:misc_RNA from 1 species
AACGCACAUUGCGCCCGCCAGUAUCCUGGCGGGCAUGCCUGUUCGAGCGUCAUUUCAACCCUCAGGCCCGGCCUGGUGUUGGGAGGCUGCAUCCGCAGCCCCCGAAAGACAGCGGCGGUCCCGUCCCGGCACCGAGCGUAGUAGCCAUCUCGCUACGGGCGCGCGGGCGGCGGCCGGCCGGAAAACAACCCCUUUCUUGGUUGACCUCGGAUCAGGUAGGAAUACCCGCUGAACUUAA